UACCCAGUUUCGGGGACCUUGGUACAGGCAGGCCGGGGAUUCCCCUCUUUAUACCGGGCUCAUACCGCAACAGCGACGAGCCCACCCGUUUUGGGGUCCUUGGUACAGGCAGGCCGGGGAUUCCCUCUUUACACCGGGCUCACGACGCAUGCGCGAGCCCUCCCGUUUUGGGAACCUUGGUACAGGCAGGCCGGGGAUUCCCUCUUUUAUUGCUCUCGG
rnacentral:ncRNA from 1 species